ensembl:miRNA
CUCCCGCAGGGCCCUGACUGGGAUAUCAUCAUAUACUGUAAGUUUGUGAUGAGAUACUACAGUAUAGAUGAUGUACUCGUCCGGGUGCUCCCAGCUCUGGAGCCAG